ACUGGGCAGGGCUGGGCUGGGAUUUAAAGCCUCUCCAUGCUCCUGCCUUACAGUAACAAAUGUGAGCCUCAGGGCAGAGUGAAGCUUGCACAGCAGAGGUGAGCAGACUCUGCUAGACAUCUCCUGGGGUCUGUGCAGGAUUGCGGGGGCAGGGGGUGUGUGUUGGCGUCUCAGUGAGUUAAUGCCUGCCACCUUGGUCUUUUAGGAUUGGCUACAUAAGCACCCCACAUGUAGGUUUAUAACUAUGCCCCUUCAGCCUGUAGGAAGCUAGAAUUAGGACCCGGAAAGCUGGGGGUGCAGCACUGAAGAGGGGGAGAACAAGAAAGCCUGACCUCUGGAUUGCUGGUCCAGCCCAGGAGGAAAAGCUUGGUUCCCUGUGGCCUUAUCAUCUCCAGGGCGGGACUGGCCUCUAGCCCUGUGCUUCUGAAGUCUCUUGGCCUUCAGAGACUCACAUGGAGCCUUCACCUUGGGAGCUUUCUUGGAAUGGCAACUCACUAAGGCAGGAACAGACCCCAGGGAGAUGUGAACCCCCAGGGUACACAAAGCUAUGCAGCCAGAGAGUCUCUUUUCCGAGGUGUGGUCAGAGCUAGGGUCACCGUCCUCUAGUCUCUCUAUAGCAGAGCCACAUCUGCUCUUCCCUGAACCCCCUGCAGGACAGGACAGGACAGCACAGCACAGCACACAUUGUGAGACACACAGAGGGCAACAGUCCUGUCUGUCCAGUCAUAAGGUGUCUCAAAUCUCUCCAGACAGCAGGACAGGCCUGGCACAGCUCCUGCCUAGACACUGUGCACCACGGCCACCUGCUCUGGAGAGUACCCAAGGCUCCAGCUUCCAGAGACAGCAGACACACCACCUCACCUACCCCCUCCUUGAGCAUCAGGUCUCCAGCACCUCAUGCUUUUCCUGUCACAACCGUGCACCCUGAGCGAGCGAGCGAGCAUCACGGGGACCGUCUGAAGGAGUUCAACUCGAGGCACUGGGACAUGGUUUCUAUGGCAACCCCUCCUGGCUCUAACUCAGCUCUGAGUUAAAAAUUAUAUCAGGUAAUUGGAGAGUGUGGGGAAGCACAGGCAGCAGGCUGGCCUCACAGUCCUCGCCUUCCCUAGGUAUUCAAGGUAGAGGGGCUGAGAAGAAGGCCACUUCCAGGCAGAACGAGGUAGCCACAGGUCUGCGGGGACCAAACCACAGGAGGAUUCUAGGGAGAGAAGUGGGCAUCACUUCUGACCUGGGAUUAGCAUGCCACGGGAUCUGGAAGGAUUGUGCUGUGAGGAGCUUCUGGGGUGUAAUACAUUGCCUUGUAAGGUGCCAGAGGGAGGCACCUUACAACAUGCUAGAGAUGCUGAGGUGGGCAUGUCACUGAGCCUCCUGCCCCUACCUCAGUUCAGAGGAGAAUACACAGGAACCCUGACUCUGGAUUAGCACAUGCUCUGUGAAGAAACUCAGGCCUUCUGCUCUUGUACCUCCCUGCUAGAUGCUUACAGCCUUGGCAAGAGGCCAGGGCCCUGCAGGCCUCUGAACUCCCAUCUCGCCAGGCCCCUUGAGUGUGACAUACAAAUGCCUGGUACCCCUGCUCCACCAGGUUGAGUAACCAUUGGACUGCACAGCUUCUUGAGGAACGUGGAGGGCAUGAACACAGGCUCAAACAACAAGAAACAGAUGCCACGGGCUGACCAAGUCACCAAGAACCUGCACAUUAUGAGGGCCACUGGAUGCUCUCCUUAAAACCUCGGCAACAGGAUUGACUCUAGGUCCCAAAGAGAGCUGGUCUGAGUCCAGGUUCUACCUUUCUUACAUGAGACUUUGGAUAAAUAACUUAUCCAUGCCUCA